AGGGAUUUCGCCCCACAUCUCCCCCUUGUAGCCCUCCUCCCCUGUGCUGUCCCCGGUGCUGUCCCUCCUUUGCUCCUCCGUGCUUUCUGCUGCUGCUGUUCCUCGGGUGGUCGCUCCCCUCAUCUGUGCACUGCACGCUCCAAAGUGCCCGAGCCCGAUGUCACCUGAGAAAGGAGAGAGCAGUGGGAACUCCCAGAGCCACUGGAGAACCUUCUGUGCUGCUGCCUCGGACCCUCUCCUGCAGAACCCACAUCCUCCUCCUGUGCUGGAGCACGGAUUGAAAUCACUGGCAAUUUUCUGUUUGCCUCAAGUGUGGUACGUGGGCCUCAGGUGGACUCAGACUCCUUUCUUGAGACACUGUGCGAGAUUUUGAAACCCAG
ensembl:lncRNA